AUGGGAGGUGAUUAUGUGGUCAUAUCGGUCUUACUAUGCUUUUUGUGUAUAACUUUCCACCUCACCUGUGUUGAAUCGGUAGACGUAGAUGUCAAUCUCCAGACGAAUGAGAAGAACACCACUCUUUUAAGACGUAAACCUUUCCAUUUUCCUUGGAGAGCUGAUAUCACGAAUGAAGGAAGCGGCAUUGUUUCUCAUAUUUCCCCCUCUUUAUACCAUAACAGAGAUAUUCGCUUCUUUACAUAUUGGACCAAGGACUUGAAAUCGAAGGGGUGCUACAACUUGCAGUGCCCAGGAUUUGUUUCUGCAAGUCGAGCUAAUCUAGUGCCUGGACAAGCCAUGGCUCCUCCAUCAAUUUAUGGCAAAGAAGACCACUACGUUAGGCUUAGCCUCAACAAGGAUCCAAAUUCCGGAGAUUGGGUGGUGUACCAUCACGAUUUACAAAAACCAUCAUUCUUGGGACAUUUUCCAAAUAAGCUUUGCCCGGGAACUCGACGUAUACAAGCCUUGACUGGAUUCGUGAAUUACUUGAAGAACGCACAUGGUCCUCCCAUGGGUAGCAGCCACUUCCCUGAUUAUGACGAUAAGAGAUCUGCGUACUUCAAGCACAUUCAGAACUACAAUCCAAAUGGUCAUUCUUCCGACCUCUUUGGCAUUCCCAUGAUCAAGUUAGUUGAUAGGCCAGAUUGUUAUGGAGCAAAUAAUUUAUUUCUCGAAUACAAGAAGGGUUAUAUGUUCAACUAUGGUGGACCAGGUGGUUGUGUUGGUUGA
rnacentral:rRNA from 1 species